GUGGAAGAGCAUAAAUUUCCACUGCUCUCAGCCCUGCUGUAUUUUUACUGAAGACUUAUGACAGCAACAUUAAGUUGAGAAAUUCCUCCUCCUUGCGACCCUCAUCACCGUCAGCUUAGAGGUACAGGAGCUUCAGGCUGCACUGAGACCCUUUCAACAUUUGGCAGGUACAUUGUAGACAUCACCCGGCUGGAGACACUGGAGAACAAACUUCAUUUCCCGUGCUGGAUCCAAGGCCUCCACUUUACAUAUGAGGAAACAAAGCCUCAGAGAGGUCCCUGGACAGAAUCAGAGAAACUCCUGGUAACAGUUGAGCAGCCAACCAAAGCGCAUCACACAUUUCUCCAGAGUCUUCCUGUGUUUUGCUAGAAGCCCCUGUGGGGUCUUGAUCAGUUUCUUGGAUCUACUUCAUUGAUCCUCAAAGACUAACUUUGAUGCUUUGGGAACCUGGGGAGCCUCCAGUCAGGUCAGGAGUGACUCCUUGAAAUUUGGAGAUGUGCUCUUCAUUUCAGGGUCAGUUUCACCAUGUGGGGACUGCAGAGGGAGCCUGGGCCUAGGGGCCAGGCAGCUUCCUCAAAAAUAGCAAGCCGAUCCCGAGAGCUCUUGACGUAAUGGUAUCUCUUUAGACUGAUCACCAAUGUUAGUCACACUAAUGAAAUUAAACCAGAUGGCAUGAAUAAUACAUUACUUGCACCAAUCAAUAUUAUGAUGUUACAAGCUAGUGGAAAAUAAAUAUUCAGAGUGAAAACGGAGGAAGAAAUUCCAAAUGCAAGUACAAUACAGCAAUCCAUCUAAUAUCUUCUCGGAUCUGGAUGUGGGAGAAUGUUGUUGCAUCUCUGCCAAAGGAAUGCAAACUUGGUAGCAACUGUUGCUUUCUACUGCCCAAUUGUCUUCUACCAAUGGUGUGUCAGAGCAAAGACAGUAUACGGAUGACUGCGAUUGAAGAUGGAGCAAGACCUAGAAGUUGUCCAAGGCUGCCUCCAGGACAGCCUUGGACUUUGUGCUGAACUGUGUUCAGGAAAUGGAUCUUGUCCCAGGGGACAAAAAUGCUGCAGCCAUGGUUGAGGCCACUCCUGCCAAACCACUGUUGAAGCUGUGAGUAUAAGAUAGAGAGCUGUGUAAGGGAAACAUGGGUCCCUGGCGGCCUUUACAGCACAGAAGGGACCCCAACCACCCCUGUGUUAACUGAAGUCUGGGUGGCAGGUGGAGAAAGCUGAUUGGUAGCAAAGAGCAGGCAUUUCUGGAAAGUGACAUAAUUCCCUUUGUGUUGUAGGAGGAAGACUUCCUUAUUCCUUUGGAUGAUCAAUGAGUCUUAAAUUGACUCAUUGACUAUUCCCAAAAGUCAUGUUUAUUCUAAUACCAAGGAGGAGAACACUCUUUCCUACUACCUUUCUUGGCUCCUCUCUGUUCCUGGAGGCCCAGUACCACAGAAUGAGGAUCUAAAUUAACUUUGGCUUCAGUGUUCAGUUCUGGCAAUUGCUUGGGGUAUCAUGGGGUGACUGCUUCCAAGAUUAUCCUUUUUCUUUUUUUUUUUUAAAGAUUGGAACCUGAGCUAACAACUGUUGCCAAUCUUCCUUUUUUCCCCCUGCUUUUCUUCUCCUCAAAUCCCCCCAGUAUAUAGAUGUAUAUUUUUUAGUUACGGGUCCUUCUAGCUGUGGCAUGUGGGAUGCCGCCUCAGCAUGGCCUGACAAGGGGUGCCACGUCUGCGCCCAGGAUCCAAACCAGUGAAAUCCUGUUAUGCUGAAGAGGAGUGCGCAAAGCUAACCACUUGGCCACCGGGCAGCCCCUUCUGAAUAAAAUUAUUUCUGUGGCAUUAUCCA
rnacentral:lncRNA from 1 species